GUCUUUGUUUAAAUAAAAGAUCUAACCUGCCCAAUGAGAAAUUUAAUGGCUGCGGUAUUUUGACUGUACAAAGGUAGCAUAAUCAUUUGUCUUUUAAUUGAAGUCUGGAAUGAAUGGUUUGAUGAAAAAUUUACUUUCUUUAUUUUAAAUAAAUAAUUUAAUUUUUUAAUUAAAAAGUUAAAAUUUUAAUAGAGGACGAGAAGACCCUAUAGAACUUUAUUUUUAUGAAAAAGAUAGUAUUUUGAUAAUGAAUUUUUAUCUUUUUUUAGGAAUUUUGUUGGGGUGAUGGAAAAAAUUAUUUAACUUUUUUUUGUUUUAUCAUUAAUUUAUGAUUUUUUUGAUCCUUUUUUAUGGAUAAAAAGAUUAAGUUACCUUAGGGAUAACAGCGUUAUUAUUUUAGAAAGUUCAUAUUGAUAAAAUAGUUUGCGACCUCGAUGUUGGAUUAAAAUAAGUUUCAGGAGUAGAAUAUUGAAUAUCUAGGUCUGUUCGACCUUUAAAUUUUUACA
rnacentral:rRNA from 1 species